AACGGAGUUAUUUCUCCAUAUUAUCUUCACCGAAGGUAUUACUUUAUUUCUUAAGACUUGUUCUUUUCUAUAUACAAUCUGAACUAAGAUUUCUAUAUACAUACCUAUAUAUCAUAUUAAUAGAUAUUCCUAUUAAAAUAUGCACUUUGAUUUUUAUUUUAUGUUUCUUUGUUGAUUUGAAUAUAUACUCCAUUAUAUUAUACGAAAAAAGAUGGCACUCGUGCUUGGGUAAAAAAAUCGAAAGUGCUGAAAUAAUUGGUAGCUUCGUCCUACAUGUUGAUGGAAAAUAUCCGACUGAAGAGCUUGACAAAUUAUCUUUUAACGUGUCUUUUGUGGUGCUGCUGAAAGACAACUUUAACAUAGAAAGUCCGGUGAUUCUUAAACUUGCUCUUCCGGAUGGAUCCACGCAACUGAUUGCAUAUAAGUUGAUGGAUUAUCCGAGGAACACACAGAUUUCGCUCAAAGCUGGGGAAUUCUUCAAUACGUUUGACUCUGGGAAUAUCAGAUUUGCUCUUGACGGGAGUGAAAUCGAGACUUGGAAGCAAGGUUUAGUUAUCUAUGGUGUUUACAUUGGACCCACCAAAGCCCAUCCAAAAAUGAACGAUAAGUAAUCUUCCGAUUUGAUCUAUAAUCUAUCUACUAGCUAGUUGAUGGUUGUUAUUAGCAUGAUAUAUAAAUAAAUCAACUAAGCUUAUGGUUGUUAUUAGCAUAUAAUAAAUAAAUCAACUAUGAGCUUAUGGUUGUUUUUAGCAUGUAAUAAAUAAAUUAACUAUCAGCUUAUGGUUAUUAUUAGCAUGAAAUAAAUAAAUCAACUACCAUUAGGUGGUUGUUAUUAUCAUAUUAUAAAUAAAACAACUACCACUAGGUGGUUUAUUACAAGAUGGUAAUGUUUGAACUAUGUCCUUUCAUUAGAAA
rnacentral:lncRNA from 1 species